GUGCUUGCUUUGGAAGCACACAUACUAAAAUUGGAACAAUACAGAAAAGAUUAGCAUGGCCCCUGUGCAAAGAUGGCAUGCAAAUUUGUGAAGUGUUUCAUAUUUUU
ensembl:snRNA U6 U6 spliceosomal RNA